ACAAACUUGGUCAUUUAGAGGAAGUAAAAGUCGUAACAAGGUCUCCGUUGGUGAACCAGCGGAGGGAUCAUUACCGAGUUUACAACUCCCAAACCCACUGUGAACCUUUACCCUCACACCGUUGCUUCGGCGGGUCUUCGCCCCGGGCAGCCCCAGGCACGCUACCAGGCGUCCUGGGGCGCCGGAACCAAGGCGCCCGCCGGGGGACCCAAACUCUUGUAUCUCUCCAGCCCCAUGGCAUGUCUGAGUGGAAUCAUUACACAAUGAAUCAAAACUUUCAACAACGGAUCUCUUGGUUCUGGCAUCGAUGAAGAACGCAGC
rnacentral:misc_RNA from 1 species